GGCGCCCUGGGCGAGGCCCACGCCACGAAGAUCCACAAGAUCAUGGACAUGGCCAUCGCGGCCGGGGCCCCGCUGGUCUCCCUCAACGACGGCGCCG
rnacentral:tRNA from 2 species